rnacentral:rRNA from 1 species
CCUACGGGAGGCUGCAGUGAGGAAUAUUGGUCAAUGGACGCAAGCCUGAACCAGCCAAGCCGCGUGCGGGAAGACGGCCCUAUGGGUUGUAAACUUCUUUUGUCCGGGAGUAAACUCCGCUACGCGUGUCGUUCCGAGAGUACCCUACGAAUAAGCAUCGGCUAACUCCGUGCCAGCAGCCGCGGUAAUACGGAGGAUUCGAGCGUUAUCCGGAUUUAUUGGGUUUAAAGGGUGCGUAGGCGGAAGGUUAAGUCAGCGGUAAAAUUGAGGUGCUCAACCUCUUCGAGCCGUUGAAACUGGUUGGCUUGAGUGAGCGAGAAGUAUGCGGAAUGCGUGGUGUAGCGGUGAAAUGCAUAGAUAUCACGCAGAACUCCGAUUGCGAAGGCAGCAUACCGGCGCUCAACUGACGCUGAGGCACGAAAGCGUGGGGAUCGAACAGGAUUAGAUACCCCAGUAGUC